UGGCGGACGGGUGAGUAAUGUCUGGGGAAACUGCCUGAUGGAGGGGGAUAACUACUGGAAACGGUAGCUAAUACCGCAUAACGUCGCAAGACCAAAGAGGGGGACCUUCGGGCCUCUUGCCAUCGGAUGUGCCCAGAUGGGAUUAGCUAGUAGGUGGGGUAACGGCUCACCUAGGCGACGAUCCCUAGCUGGUCUGAGAGGAUGACCAGCCACACUGGAACUGAGACACGGUCCAG
rnacentral:rRNA from 2 species